CGCGCUCUCAGCCGUGUUGGGUUUGAGGCGCUAGUGCGCACUAGUAAUUAUCGGAGUCAUUGUUAUCCGGCUUUGGUUAGAGAAUGUAAAAGUGUCAGAAGUCUGGUAUCAGGACACCAUACUUAUUUCUUGUUUACUCGCAAAAUUAUUAGAUUUUAAAGAUAAUCAGUAGUGUGAAAGUAAUUGAAAGAUCCGCAGAAAUGCCGGAGCCGACUCCAGAAGUAUACUCAUUACAAAUUGGAGAGGUUAUGAUGAUAUCUUUCAAUAUGAUCCUGGAUGAGGUAAUGGACAGAGUGAUAAUGGAAUUCCUUACUAAGCCUGAUCCAGCUUAAUACAUUGGAAUUAUAAAGUGUUAUGAGUUGGAGGUGACAGACAAAAACAUGAUUCUUCAUUUUCAAUAUUUGCAUCUUCCCAUUACUCUGGUGGUAUAAGAAAAAAUGGAGUUGAAUUCUCCUUCUGGAUUAAAAAUUCUGGAAAUUCUUAAUAUUUAUGAUGGUACUGAAAUCAUGUACUUCAAGAAUUUUUCAUUUAACUAUGAUGAAAUCUUACUUUAAAAUGUUAUAAAUUA